UACGGAGGGAGCUAGCGUUAUUCGGAAUUACUGGGCGCAAAGCGUGCGCAGGCGGUCUGUUAAGACCGAUGUGAAAUCCCCGGGCUUAACCUGGGAACUGCAUUGGUGACUGGCAGGCUUUGAGUGUGGCAGAGGGAGGUAGAAUUCCACGUGUAGCAGUGAAAUGCGUAGAGAUGUGGAGGAAUACCGAUGGCGAAGGCAGCCUCCUGGGCCAACACUGACGCUCAUGCACGAAAGCGUGGGGAGCAAACAGG
rnacentral:rRNA from 1 species